UACGUAGGGUGCGAGCGUUAAUCGGAAUUACUGGGCGUAAAGCGUGCGCAGGCGGUUCGUUAAGUCAGUUGUGAAAGCCCCGGGCUCAACCUGGGAAUGGCGGUUGAAACUGGCGAACUAGAAUCUGGCAGAGGGGGGUGGAAUUCCACGUGUAGCAGUGAAAUGCGUAGAGAUGUGGAGGAACACCGAUGGCGAAGGCAGCCCCCUGGGCUGAGAUUGACGCUCAGGCACGAAAGUGUGGGGAUCAAACAGG
rnacentral:rRNA from 1 species